rnacentral:rRNA from 1 species
GAUGAACGCUGGCGGCGUGCCUAAUACAUGCAAGUCGAGCGAACAGAUGAGGAGCUUGCUCCUCUGACGUUAGCGGCGGACGGGUGAGUAACACGUGGAUAACCUACCUAUAAGACUGGGAUAACUUCGGGAAACCGGAGCUAAUACCGGAUAAUAUAUUGAACCGCAUGGUUCAAUAGUGAAAGACGGUUUUGCUGUCACUUAUAGAUGGAUCCGCGCCGCAUUAGCUAGUUGGUAAGGUAACGGCUUACCAAGGCAACGAUGCGUAGCCGACCUGAGAGGGUGAUCAGCCACACUGGAACUGAGACACGGUCCAGACUCCUACGGGAGGCAGCAGUAGGGAAUCUUCGGCAAUGGGCGAAAGCCUGACGGAGCAACGCCGCGUGAGUGAUGAAGGUCUUCGGAUCGUAAAACUCUGUUAGUAGGGAAGAACAAAUGUGUAAGUAACUAUGCACGUCUUGACGGUACCUAAUCAGAAAGCCACGGCUAACUACGUG